ACUCCUACGGGAGGCAGCAGUGGGGAAUAUUGCACAAUGGGGGAAACCCUGAUGCAGCCAUGCCGCGUGUGUGAAGAAGGCCUUCGGGUUGUAAAGCACUUUCAGUAGGGAGGGAAGGUAGUGUAGUUAACACCUGCAUUAUUUGACGUUACCUACAGAAGAAGCACCGGCUAACUCCGUGCCAGCAGCCGCGGUAAUACGGAGGGUGCGAGCGUUAAUCGGAAUUACUGGGCGUAAAGCGCAUGCAGGCGGCCUGUUAAGUCAGAUGUGAAAGCCCGGGGCUUAACCUCGGAAUUGCAUUUGAAACUGGCAGGCUAGAGUCUUGUAGAGGGGGGUAGAAUUUCAGGUGUAGCGGUGAAAUGCGUAGAGAUCUGAAGGAAUACCAGUGGCGAAGGCGGCCCCCUGGACAAAGACUGACGCUCAGAUGCGAAAGCGUGGGGAGCAAACAGGAUUAGAUACCCUGGUAGCACAGAG
rnacentral:rRNA from 1 species